rnacentral:rRNA from 1 species
AGUGAACGCUGGCGGUAUGCCUAACACAUGCAAGUCGAACGGCAGCACAGUAAGAGCUUGCUCUUACGGGUGGCGAGUGGCGGACGGGUGAGGAAUACAUCGGAAUCUACUUUUUCGUGGGGGAUAACGUAGGGAAACUUACGCUAAUACCGCAUACGACCUACGGGUGAAAGCAGGGGAUCUUCGGACCUUGCGCGAUUGAAUGAGCCGAUGUCGGAUUAGCUAGUUGGCGGGGUAAAGGCCCACCAAGGCGACGAUCCGUAGCUGGUCUGAGAGGAUGAUCAGCCACACUGGAACUGAGACACGGUCCAGACUCCUACGGGAGGCAGCAGUGGGGAAUAUUGGACAAUGGGCGAAAGCCUGAUCCAGCAAUACCGCGUGGGUGAAGAAGGCCUUCGGGUUGUAAAGCCCUUUUGUUGGGAAAGAAAAGCAGCAGGUUAAUACCCCGCUGUUCUGACGGUACCCAAAGAAUAAGCACCGGCUAACUUCGUG